rnacentral:tRNA from 1 species
GGAGAGGUGUCCGAGUGGCCGAUGGUGCAACAUUGGAAAUGUUGUGUGGCGCAAGCCACCGCGAGUUCGAAUCUCGCCCUCUCCG